GAUGAACGCUGGCGGCGUGCCUAAUACAUGCAAGUCGAGCGAACAGACGAGGAGCUUGUUCCUCUGACGUUAGCGGCGGACGGGUGAGUAACACGUGGAUAACCUACCUAUAUGACUGGGAUAACUUCGGGAAACCGGAGCUAAUACCGGCUAAUACAUUGAACCGCAUGGUUCAAUAGUGAAAGACGGUUUUGCUGUCACUUAUAGAUGGAUCCGCGCCGCAUUAGCUAGUUGGUAAGGUAACGGCUUACCAAGGCGACGAUGCGUAGCCGACCUGAGAGGAUGAUCAGCCACACUGGAACUGAGACACGGUCCAGACUCCUACGGGAGGCAGCAGUAGGGAAUCUUCCGCAAUGGGCGAAAGCCUGACGGAGCAACGCCGCGUGAGUGAUGAAGGUCUUCGGAUCGUAAAACUCUGUUAUUAGGGAAGAACAAAUGUGUAAGUAACUAUGCACGUCUUGACGGUACCUAAUCAGAAAGCCACGGCUAACUACGUG
rnacentral:rRNA from 1 species